rnacentral:rRNA from 1 species
GAUGAACGCUGGCGGCGUGCCUAAUACAUGCCAGUCGAGCGAACGGACGAGAAGCUUGCUUCUCUGAUGUUAGCGGCGGACGGGGGAGUAACACGUGGAUAACCUACCUAUAAGACUGGGAUAACUUCGGGAAACCGGAGCUAAUACCGGAUAAUAUUUUGAACCGCAUGGUUCAAAAGUGAAAGACGGUCUUGCUGUCACUUAUAGAUGGAUCCGCGCUGCAUUAGCUAGUUGGUAAGGUAACGGCUUACCAAGGCAACGAUGCAUAGCCGACCUGAGAGGGUGAUCGGCCACACUGGAACUGAGACACGGUCCAGACUCCUACGGGAGGCAGCAGUAGGGAAUCUUCCGCAAUGGGCGAAAGCCUGACGGAGCAACGCCGCGUGAGUGAUGAAGGUCUUCGGAUCGUAAAACUAUGUUAUUAGGGAAGAACAUAUGUGUAAGUAACUGUGCACAUCUUGACGGUACCUAAUCAGAAAGCCACGGCUAACUACGUG